rnacentral:lncRNA from 1 species
CGGCGCUAGGUGUGCCCCAGGGCAAGAGGAGGCGCUGAGGAAUCUGGUGACCCCUACCCUGGGGGUGUGAUCACACCUCCCCUCUCCGCCCGCUCAGCACUGUCAAGCCAGGGCAGACAUUGGUUACACGUUACAGAGUCAGCAUGUAGCUGCUGCCCGUGGUAAAGGUAAUACCUACCCUGCAAAAAUCAUGAGCUAGGAAACCGCAUUACAGGGAAAAACCCUGUGGUCUCUGCACAACUUGCUGGUAUGCGGGCUGGCUCCCUUCGAGUGGGCUGUGGGUGUGAGUGCAUAAGAACAAGCAGCGCUGCCACCGUUUUUAAUACCCGUUUAAUGGGUGUAAUCACGCAAUUUUACAGCCUAUUUUUAAAACGAGAUCAUAAAUACCCACGUCAUUAAAGUUUUCAAGACCAUCCCUUCUCAAAGAUGCAAGAGGGAGAACAGCUUAUAAAGAUGAAGGUGGGAGUUCCCGUUCUGGCACAUCAGAAACAAAUCUGACGAGGAACCAUGAGGUUGCGAGUUCGAUCCCUGGCCUCGCUCCGUGGGUUAGGGAUCUGGCGUUGCCGUGAGCUGUGGGGUAGGUCACAGACUCGGCUCGGAUCUGGCUUUGCUGUGGCCCUGGCGUAGGCCAGAGGCUACCGUUCCAUUUGGACCCCUAGCCGGGGAACCUCCAUAUGCCGUGGGUGUGGCCCCAAAAGGACAAAAAAGACAAUAAAUAAAUAAAGAUGAAGGUGAAACCAAAUUGAAAGGAAAAAAAAAGGGUUGUCUAAGCCGGAGAAAGCAACAAAGGGAAAGAGUAAAACGUCAAGGGAUUUAUGAGAUUGGUUUUCAAUUCUAAGAUCCAGACUCACGGAAAGAGUGGAAAUGACUCGGGUCACGGGCAGAUCUGUGGACACGGGCACGGCCACGGGUCAAAGACUGGGCCACCGGGCAUGGAUUUAUAAUGCUGAGAAUCAGAACUCCCGGCCCCAUCGCCUCAAUGCCUUCCUUCCUUCCAGCCAAGUAGCAUCUGCACUAACAGUAGCAUCUGCACCAAUAGAUGCCACUGCCUUCGGGGGUGCAAGAACCCUGAUCCUCUUUACCAAUAAUUUAAUACGACUUUGGUUUAACUGCAAGGAAAAGGAAUGAUUUUUAGGAUCAUUACUAUAUAUUGACAAUAUCCUAUUACUAGGAGCGGCCACUUUUUUCUUUUCCUUUUUUUUUUUUUUUUUUUUUUGGUCUUUUGUCUUUUGAGGGCCACACCCACAGCAUAUGAAGGUUCCCAGGCUAGGGGUCGAAUUGGAGCUGUAGCCGCCAGUCUACACCACAGCCACAGCAACGGGAGAUCCAAGCCGCAUCUGCGACCUACACCACAGCUCACGGCAACACCAGAUCCUUAACCCACCGAGUGAGGCCAG